GCUACCACAUCUAAGGAAGGCAGCAGGCGCGCAAAUUACCCAAUCCCGGCACGGGGAGGUAGUGACGAAAAAUACCGAUGCGGGUCUCCGACGAGGCCUCGCCAUCGGAUUGAGUUUAAACUAAAAACUUGGACGAGUGUCCAUCGGAGGGCAAGUCUGGUGCCAGCAGCCGCGGUAAUUCCAGCUCCGAUAGCGUAUAUUAAAGAUGCUGCGGUUAAAAAGCUCGUAGCUGAAUUUCGCGUCCGGAUUGACGGCCCGCCCUGGUCGGACGUACGACUUGUCUCGCCCACGGKGGGAUAUUGAAACGACGUUCGUCCUCCGGCGGAUAACCUAGUCAAACCCGGUUCGCCGAAAUCCGUCGGCUCGCGAGGGGUGCCUCCGGUGUCCCUAGCGUCCGGCAUUUUCACUUUGAAUAAAUAAGAGUGCUCAAAGCGGGCGCAAAAGUUUAACGCCAAAACGAAGGUGCAUUGAACGAAAUAAUAAGACCUCGACCCCGCCGUUGUUCCGAUCGGUAUGAAGGGGGUCGAGGUAACGAUUAAGAGAAGCGGGCGGAGACAUACGUACUGCGUCGCGAGAGGUGAAAUUCGUUGACCGUCGCAAGACGAACUGAGGCGAAGGCGUUUGUCGAGAACGUUUUCAUUAGUCAAGAACGAAAGUCAGAGGAUCGAAGGCGAUCAGAUACCGCCCUAGUUCUGACCGUAAACGUUGCUACCUGACGAUCCGUCGACGUCGCUAUCUAGACUCGGCGGGAAGUCUCCGGGAAACCUAAGGUUUCGAGCUCCGGGGGAAGUAUGGUUGCAAAAGUGAAACUUAAAGGAAUUGACGGAAGGGCACCACCAGGAGUGGAGCCUGCGGCUUAAUUCGACUCA
rnacentral:rRNA from 1 species